GGGGAUUCUGUGGAAUCAGAUUUUCAAUUAAUAUUUUGUGCCCCUUAGGAGAGAAAGAUGGUGCAAGCAAGUAAAAAUGAUUUUCAGCUUGCUCUUCAAAAAGCUGACAAAACUGAAGUUCAGUGGGGGUCUGACAUCACUGUACCAUGUCACCUGUCACCUGAAAUCAGUGCUGUCAACAUGGAGAUCAGGUGGUUUAAGGAGACAGACUGUGUGUGUCUCUAUAAGAACAGACAGAUGUUUGAGGGCAGGGGCUACAAGGGCAGAGUGAGUCUGUUCACUGAGGAGCUGGAGAACGGAAAGACUUCAGACAGCCAGAUGUGGGAGAUUACCUGUGUCAGAUCACCAGUACGGACAUAACAGAAGAGAUAACAGUAAGAGUAGGAUUAUUACAGGGUGGCUUUUGGAACAGAGACGCACUAAACAGCAGCAGCAGCAGGAUCAGGAGCAGAAGCAGAAGCAGCAGCAGCAGCAACAGCAGCAGCAGCAGUAGCAGUAGCAGUAGCACUAACAGCAGCAGUAACAGGAAUAGGAGCAGUAGCAGCAACAGGAGCAGGAACAGUAGCAGCAACAGUAGCAGUAGCAGUAGCAGCAGCAGCAGUAGCAGUAGCAGCAGCAGCAGCAGAUUUCUUCAUGCCAGAAAUCAGAAAAAUACUGACAAUCAAUAAGAUACACAAAACUUGGAGUAAAGAAGAGAGAAAGAAAAUGAAAGAAUCUUCUCUUUUGGCAGCAAGAAGAAACAGCAAACAAUUCGAUCCUCCAGAGAUGUGUGAAAAUCUGUCACACAAGCAAAAGUGAAGAUGUGAAACAACACUCAAUUCUUCCAAUCAGAUGUGUCUCAAUCUGACACAGAAACACUGAGGAGCCAGAAGAAAGGCCAAACCCUGCAUAGAGAGGCUCUGGGAAUGUGGAGUGGAAAGUGUGUAAGUGUGUCAGUCUGUUUUUGUCAGAGACGCUGCAAAAGGACAGAGUGC